rnacentral:tRNA from 1 species
GGAUAGUUCUGUGGAAGAGCACGUGCUUGGCAUGUAUGAGGUCCUGGGUUCAAUCCCCAGUACAGCCA